ensembl:lncRNA novel transcript
AAAGUUGCUCAAGGUCCAGUAACUUCUGGAAGCCCAAGAGAGAGCUCAUAUUCAGAGGACAGGAAGACAAUUCCAGACCAUUGGUCCACAGAGGUGUCACCUGUCCUUCUGUGUCUGUGUCAGCCUCACUGCCCCCUGACUUACCCCUGCCCCCAGGAAAAAUGUCACAGAAUGGCCAUCCUAACAGGCGUAAGGUGCUAUCUAGUUGUGGUUUUGAUUUGCAUUUCUUUGAUGAGUCAUCUUGGCCUGUCCUUGACUGGAGACACAUUUUGGAAGCUGUUGGCACUCUCUGUUAAUGGACAUUUGGGUUAUUCCCUCCCGUUCUCCCCUGAACUGGCUCUUCCCAGAUACAUCCUGCUUUAGUGAGCUCAGCUUCUCUGCCAACUUCAUCUGUGAAGCUGUCUUAAAGUAUGAGAAGUCAUUAUCAGUGUUCAGGAUCUCAGGAAAGGAUGGUCUGAUCUCUUUGGGCCCAGAGCGUUUCACCUCUCAAGCAUCCUAAGUUCUUCAGUGUUCUGGACUCCAUAGUGGGGCAUCAAGGGUCAUCAGGGCUGAUUCUCAGAGGCCUAGCCAGCUCAGCCGAAAUGUCCAAGGCUCAGGCAGUGGGCCCUGGACAGGGGAUGUUGGCAUCCUCCAAUGAAAUGAUUCCAUCCAUCUUCCUGAGACAGGAAGGUGGACAGGAAUCUCUCUAAGGAAGACACAUGAGAUCUCCUCUAGUCUGUGGUCAGCCUUGAGGUACCACACCUGCCCAAGGUGAGCAGGUUUUUGGCUAAGGGUGAAUGGUUCAUAUCAGUUCUCCCCUACCCUGGAUGCAUUGUCUGAGGUGUUUUGCAUGCUAGGCUCUUGGCCUCUGUCUCAGAGUCUUGAAAAGAGACAGAGCAGAGCUCUCCUGCUCACAGUCUGUAUCUGCACUCAUCCAGGAUCUUCCACUUAAACGAGCUCUCAACAUCAUGGACAAACUUCCAGCAUUUAUCACAAUGUAAACCCAAAGAAGGUACAGACAGUUCUACCUUAGCACUGUCUUAUCCUCAUGCCAAAGAUAAGUUUGUGGCAAGUGACAUUUGCCUACUGAAGAGGCAAUUUCCUGAGGAGACUGUUGAGUAGAGAUGAUGAAACGGUCUUUGGAGGAGCUUCAAAAAGGGAGGUCUAGAAGAAGAGCCCAGUGUGUUUCACAGAUCCCAGAGCGGGAGGCAGAGCUGACAUUUGGAGCAUAGCAGUCGAUGAUGCCCACACAGACACUGCCUGAGACUCACGCCCCUGGAGAAACGCAGAUUUCCUUAUUUUCCAGUGGUGACCAGGAGGCACAGAACCCAAACCUGGUAUCUCAGCUCUGUGGCGUCUUUCUUCAAAAUGAGACGAAUGAAACCAUACAUAUGCAGAUGAGCAUGGCAGUGGGACAGCAGGCCCUGCCCUUGAAUAUCAUUGCCCCCAAGGCUGUGCUGGUCUCCCUCUGUGGGGUCUUAUUGAAUGGCACUGUCUUCUGGCUGCUUUGCUGUGGGGCCACGAAUCCCUACAUGGUAUACAUCCUCCACCUGGUCGCUGCUGACGUGAUCUAUCUUUGCUGCUCGGCAGUGGGGUUCUUACAGAUUUACUCUGUGGCUGAAGACAUGGUCAGUUUUGUCCACCAUGGUGUUUAAAAUAAUGUAUAGUCUCCUUUUAAGGUGUAAUUUGUCAAAUAACUUUUUUUAAUGAUUUCUAUAUGUGCUUAUUCAAUUAUGUGUACAUGUUACUCAAAACAAAGAAGAUUCAUUCAAGUCUGAUAUUAAAAUAUAUGGUUACCUCUUAA